AGUGGAUGGGGAGCAACCUAGUUGUGCGUGUGUAAAGGUAGUGCCAAGAAAAGCGAUGAUCAUGUUGAAAAUCAAUUCCCGGUACCCGAAACCGACACAGGUGGGCAAGUAGAGAAUACUAAGGGGCGCGAGGUAACUCUCUCCAAGGAACUCGGCAAAAUGACCCCGUAACUUAGGGAGAAGGGGUGCCACCGAGAGGUGGUCGCAGUGAAGAGGCCCAGGCGACUGUUUAGCAAAAACAUAGGUCUCUGCAAACUCGAAAGAGGAGGUAUAGGGGCUGACGCCUGCCCAGUGCCGGAAGGUUAAAGAAGUUGGUCAGUUUUAGGAUGAAGCUAGCGACUGAAGCCCCGGUGAACGGCGGCCGUAACUAUAACGGUCCUAAGGUAGCGAAAUUCCUUGUCGGGUAAGUUCCGACCCGCACGAAAGGCGUAACGAUCUGGGCGCUGUCUCGGAGAGAGGCUCGGCGAAAUAGGAUUGUCUGUGAAGAUACGGACUACCUGCAUUUGGACAGAAAGACCCUAUGAAGCUUUACUAUAGCUUGGAAAUGUGUUCGGGCUUCCUGUGCGCAGGAUAGGUGGGAGGCGUAGAAGGUAUUCUUGUGGGGAUACUGGAGCCAACGGUGAGAUACCACUCUCAGGAGGCUAGAAUUCUAACUUAAUUAAGGACAGUUUCAGGUGGGUAGUUUGACUGGGGCGGUCGCCUCCAAAAAGGUAACGGAGGCGUACAAAGGUUCCCUCAGACUGGUUGGAAAUCAGUCGAAGAGUGCAAAGGCAGAAGGGAGCUUGACUGCGAGAAGUACAGUUCGAGCAGGGUGGAAACACGGUCUUAGUGAUCCGACGGUGCUGUGUGGAAGGGCCGUCGCUCAACGGAUAAAAGUACUCUAGGGAUAACAGGCUGAUCUCCCCCAAGAGUUCACAUCGACGGGGAGGUUUGGCACCUCGAUGUCGGCUCAUCGCAACCUGGGGCGGAAGUACGUCCCAAGGGUUGGGCUGUUCGCCCAUUAAAGCGGUACGUGAGCUGGGUUCAGAACGUCGUGAGACAGUUCGGUCCAUAUCCGAUGUAGGCGUGAGAAUAUUGAGAGGAGCCUUCCUUAGUACGAGAGGACCGGGAAGGACGCACCGCUGGUGUACCUGUUAUGAUGCCAAUUGUAAACGCAGGGUAGCCAAGUGCGGAGAGGAUAACCGCUGAAAGCAUCUAAGUGGGAAGCCCACCUCAAGAUGAGUAUUCUGGUGUAAGGUCACGGGAAGACGACCCGUAAAUAGGCACGAGGUGGAAGUGCAGAGAUGUAUGAAGCCGAAGUGUACUAAUAGACCGUCGGCUUGAU
rnacentral:rRNA from 1 species